UACGUAGGGUGCGAGCGUUGUCCGGAAUUAUUGGGCGUAAAGGGCUCGUAGGCGGUUUGUCACGUCGGGAGUGAAAACUCAGGGCUUAACCCUGAGCCUGCUUCUGAUACGGGCAGACUAGAGGUAUGCAGGGGAGAACGGAAUUCCUGGUGUAGCGGUGAAAUGCGCAGAUAUCAGGAGGAACACCGAUGGCGAAGGCAGGUCUCUGGGCCACUACUGACGCUGAGAAGCGAAAGCAUGGGGAGCGAACAGG
rnacentral:rRNA from 1 species